rnacentral:misc_RNA from 1 species
UGUGCGGAAAAGGACGAAUGG